rnacentral:tRNA from 2 species
CUAGAUAGGAGGGCCU